GUGAGGUUCUGGUUGUAGCUGACGGGGCUGAAGUACUCGAACAUGAAGACGGUGAUGGCCACCACGGUACAAGUCACCCACCCCAAGAAACGUUCUUUUGACUUCACAACCCCUGCCUGUCCCCAAGUGGAUGAUCUGGUGGUUCCGCCUGGAAUCAGGGCCCCUGAGGCCAAGUCUUACUCCUCAUCCUACCAACAUGGAAACCCGUGCCCAGGGAACUGGAGAGACCCACCCCAGGCCUCGGACAAGACUAUUUCUAUCUCCUAGACCAACCUCCAAGACCCAAGGCUGCUGUGCUUGGCCUCUGAGAGCCCACCCAACUCCCCAUCUCCACCCAAGCUGUACACACCCUCC